rnacentral:lncRNA from 1 species
UGAAUGAACAUUGCCAAAAUACUCGGUUCAUGACUGAUCGAGUGGUUAUUUGCCAGGACACUAUUGGAAAGGUUCAUCGUCUGCCCUUGUCCUACUUCGGAACACCUCGUAUGGGCACGCUGCAUCUUGGUACAUUGUAAGAGCUGAUUCACCAAGGUCGUCUACUACGUGAGGGCGCUUGUCAACUCUAUAACUUGUCGAGACAAGUGUUGUUCACCAUUUGGGUUGGAAGAGCUUGAACAAUAUGAGUCUCCUUUAGUAGUGGAAGUGUAAUGGACUUUGGAGAGAGAUUUAAGUUACGAAAUAUCAAAUCUGCAGAGAAAUAGGGUGAAAAUACCCUAGGUUCAAU